rnacentral:rRNA from 1 species
CCUACGGGUGGCUGCAGUGGGGAAUAUUGCACAAUGGGCGCAAGCCUGAUGCAGCCAUGCCGCGUGUGUGAAGAAGGCCUUCGGGUUGUAAAGCACUUUCAGCGGGGAGGAAGGCGUUAAGGUUAAUAACCUUGGCGAUUGACGUUACCCGCAGAAGAAGCACCGGCUAACUCCGUGCCAGCAGCCGCGGUAAUACGGAGGGUGCAAGCGUUAAUCGGAAUUACUGGGCGUAAAGCGCACGCAGGCGGUCUGUCAAGUCGGAUGUGAAAUCCCCGGGCUCAACCUGGGAACUGCAUUCGAAACUGGCAGGCUAGAGUCUUGUAGAGGGGGGUAGAAUUCCAGGUGUAGCGGUGAAAUGCGUAGAGAUCUGGAGGAAUACCGGUGGCGAAGGCGGCCCCCUGGACAAAGACUGACGCUCAGGUGCGGAAGCGUGGGGAGCAAACAGGAUUAGAUACCCCGGUAGUC